GCCGGGCUAGCUCAAUGGCUAGAGCAUGAGGCUUUUAAAUCGAAGAUUACCUCAAGGCUGCGAGUUCGAGUCUCGCGUUCGGCU